rnacentral:rRNA from 1 species
GACGAGCGCUGGCGGCGUGCCUAAUACAUGCAAGUCGAGCGAGCUUGCCUAGAUGAUUUUAGUGCUUGCACUAAAUGAAACUAGAUACAAGCGAGCGGCGGACGGGUGAGUAACGCGUGGGUAACCUGCCUCAUACAGGGGGAUAACGGUUAGAAAUGACUGCUAAUACCGCAUAAGCGCACAGUGCCGCAUGGUACGGUGUGAAAAACUCCGGUGGUAUGAGAUGGACCCGCGUCUGAUUAGCUAGUUGGUGAGGUAACGGCCCACCAAGGCGACGAUCAGUAGCCGACCUGAGAGGGUGACCGGCCACAUUGGGACUGAGACGCGGCCCAA